ensembl:snoRNA SNORD22 Small nucleolar RNA SNORD22
UGCCAAUGAGGAACAGACAUCCUGUCUUACUCCCUGUUUUAAUCCCAGAGCCAGUAAUGGUGAACCCACUGGGGUGACUGGGAGAUGGGAUGAGAACUGGUUCUGUAAGGAACUGUCUGAGGUGC